GACGAACGCUGGCGGCGUGCUUAACACAUGCAAGUCGAACGGUGAAGCGCCUUCCUUUUUGGUGGGUGUGGAUGAGUGGCGAACGGGUGAGUAACACGUGAGUAACCUGCCCCCUUCUUCUGGAUAACCGCAUGAAAGUGUGGCUAAUACGGGAUAUUCUGUGUCUGUCGCAUGAUGGGUCUGGGAAAGAUAUUGUUUCGGUGGGGGAUGGGCUCGCGGCCUAUCAGCUUGUUGGUGGGGUGAUGGCCUACCAAGGCGGUGACGGGUAGCCGGCCUGAGAGGGUGGACGGUCACACUGGGACUGAGACACGGCCCAGACUCCUACGGGAGGCAGCAGUGGGGAAUAUUGCACAAUGGGCGAAAGCCUGAUGCAGCGACGCCGCGUGAGGGAUGGAGGCCUUCGGGUUGUGAACCUCUUUCGCCAGUGAAGCAGGCCUGCCUCGUUUGUGGGUGGGUUGACGGUAGCUGGAUAAGAAGCGCCGGCUAACUACGUG
rnacentral:rRNA from 1 species